ACACCGUUCCAUGAUUCCAUGUGCCAACCUCUCCCUUUCCUUCUCUGUCUCUCUCCUGUCUCUCAGCGCUAAAUCCCAGGAACAUCCACCCUCGUUCCCCGUGCCCCUCCAUCCCUUUUCCAGGCUCCUCUUCCAGCCUUUCCUGACCUCUCUACCUUUCUUUGUGCCCCAGAUGAGUUUCCUGCUCCCCCGAAGCCCCUGAAGGCCUCAGACCUGGAUGACGGGCUCGGAUUCCUGCCGACCUUCGGUCCCUGCUACAUCAACCUCUACGGGAGCCCCCGGGAAUUCACGGGAUUCCCCGAUCCCUACGAGAGCCUCAACCUGGGAAAGGGAGAGGGCGUUGCCUACCGGGGCAGGGUGCUGGUGGAGCUGGAGACCAAACUGGUGGAGCACCUGGAGCAGAAGGUGGAGGAUAUUCCAGCGGAUGACGUCCUGAGGGUGGAGAAGUUCCUGCGCCGCCGGAAAUAUUCCCUGUUCGCCGCCUUCUACUCGGCCACGAUGCUGCCGAGCGUGGAGGCCGCGGUGCAGUUCGAGGUCAGCAUCGGCAACUACGGCAACAAGUUCGACACCACGUGCCUGCCCCUGGCCUCCACCACCCAGUACAGCAGGGCCGUGUU